UGGAGAUGAUGAGCUCUCUUUGGCCUGACCUUGUGGAGUGGAGGCACAAAAAAAACUGAUUUAAUGAGCCUGAUCC